rnacentral:lncRNA from 1 species
GGGAAGGUACGGCAAGGGGCACGUGCCGUACCGGCGACCGGAAAAUAUUUUGAAGGGGGAUGAAGGUGCUGCAGCGGCGCAGUCGGUGAUGUCGCAGAGGCGCAGCCGGUGCCCUAUCAAAAGGAAACUCCUGGCUCCGCCACUGGUUGUUAUUAUUGUUGGAGUAUUUCGCUUGAGAGAGAUAUGAAAAUAAUUCAAUCGGGCAAUCUGCUUCUUAUUUUUAUGUCACAUUUUUAUGUCACAUGUAGGGAUAACUGAAAGCAAAUGCUAUUCUAGCCAUAUCACUU